UUCAGCUGGCAGCAGUGGUGAAAGGAAUUACUUAACUAUUGUCAAAUGGACUUCUUUUUUUUUCAAAUGGAUUUCUUGUCAUUUGUUGGCCAUCCACACACACAGGAGAUGGGGUAGGAAUGCUGAGUGGUACAGCAAGCCUCUUGGGGGUAUUCUAGGUGCUCCCUUCUCACUUUUAUUGUAAGCAUACUAUUUUCACAGAGACUUGCUGAAGGAUUAAAAUUAUUUUCUCUUUUGGAAAAGCUUGACUGAUUUCACAAUUAUCUCUAGUAUGCUUUUUGUGGUGUCCUGCCGAAUUUAAAUAUUUAUGUGUCCCUGUUUAGUUAUUUUUUUAAAUCAGUAUGCAAUGUUAAGCCUUUUUAAAAUGUAAAAACCAUUUGCAUUGGUUAGGAAUUAGAUUUCUGCUGGCUAUUACUGGGCUAAAAGAUAUCUUUGUCUUAAAAUUAUUUAACCUCCAUUGCAAAAAGUUAAAAGUUUUCAAUUCGUCAGAAUGACAUCGCUCCCAAUUUUAUGCAAACAUGCAGACUGUUGGCAUACCUUAUAGCCUGUAUACUCAGUGCAAAUAUAGCUGCAUUUUUACCUCAGAGGGGCCAAGUAUUAAUGCCCAUGCCCUCCAUAAGGGUUGCUGGUUUUGCCAGUGAGCAGGUGUUUUAAGAAUUGAAAAUAAUCUUAUGGAAUUGCUACAAAGGAGUGCUUUUCUUCUCAGUUGUUAGAAGAAUUUAUUGUUAAAGGUAAGUGUGUAAAACCAGAUUUCUGAGAUGGUUUUUAUUUAUGUUUAUUAUAGUUAAAGUAGAGUGAGUUGCAUUGUGGGAAGAAACGACGUUGAAAUUCCAUGUUUUUGAAUCCUCUUUCUAUUUAUAAGUGAAAUGUUUGAUCCUCUAUCAGCCUUUCAUAUUUUACCAUGUAUGAAAUGGACUUACAUGGAACUACUACUGAUAAGGGAAAGUUGUAUGUUUGCGUCACCUAGACCAGAAAACCUUUACCUGUUUCCUCCUUUUAAGUUAUUUUAUACAUUGCAUAUAUUAAGUAAAAUAACUUUUCAAAUAUAGUUUAAUAACACUUAAAUUAGAGGUGUUUAUCUCACCUGGAAAGUAAUUGCUAUGCCAUACAUGCCAAGUGCCCCCUGCCCCGCAAGGCCUUGACAUGAUUAACAAGUGACUUUGUUAGUCUUGCAGAGAAGUGAUGCAUUAACAAUUUAAGAUUUUAAGAUUUAGACCAUGGUAAUUGUAGUUCUUAUUCUCUAGGGUUAUAUCAUAUGUAAUUUAAAAAUAUUUAAGACAAAUUUCCUGUAUACCUCUCAACUUCUUUGAUUUUUAUUUCAUCAUGAUAGAUAUGCUCUUUCCUUUUAAAUGACAUUUAUUGUGUGAAUUAAUGCAAAGUAGCCAAAUCCAGCUGUGUAGCAACUUCAAACACAGACCUGACCAAAAAAUCCCCAGUAACCAGGCAUGAUCAAAUCGUAGUGGUCAUUUGCAUCUCAACAAUUAUCAGUACCUUUUUCUAGAGCUAGUUAUGAAAAUGUUCAAGUUGGUUCAACAGUAUGUUGUUGAGGAUAUUUGUGUGUUUAUUCAGUAUACUUACAUAAAAACUAUUUUGCCUUCAGACAAAACCUUCAGAGUGAUCAUGACAAACCUUGCCUUCAGAGUGAUCAUGACAAACUUUGCCUUCAGAGUGAUCAUGACAGCUACGUUUUGUUGUUUUAUGAAGUUUAUUUCUCAAGAAAAGGGGAACAAAUUUUGGGUUUACUAAAGAUGCUUGAAGGCCACAGGUUUUAUUGCCAAAACCCAAGUUGUGACUUUCGCUGUUAGAUGGGAAGCAGAAUGAAAGAUUUGCAUGUGGCUGUCCCACUUAGUAGGCUAGAAACGACUUGCAGUGUUAUAAUGAUAUAAACCUAAAGAGGAAGGUGCAGGUACACAUGAAGUAGCUAGCCAUACAGUUGGGAACUCAGUGCCUAUGAUCUACUUGAUUUUUUUUUCAGGAAGUACAUCUUCUGGCCCUUCCUCAUUAUCUGUUCUAGAAUAUCAGUGCAGUGCACUGCUACUGUUUUAUUCACUUGGCCAUAGACUCUUUCUUCCAACAGUUGCAUAUUCUUUCUGUAAACGGAUUGCAUUGGCAGCAUUGUGUCUUUCAUCUUGCACACUAGCUCAACAUAGUAUUCUCUCUGAUUUCUAGGCUAGUUAUUUGAGGUAUGAGUUUUCCAUAGAAUGUGCAUUGAUACUGCAUUGCCAUUCUUCUAUGGAAAGAAAACUUUUGAUGAUGAAACAAUAAAGAUUUUAAAUAUCUAUUUUAGUUUGUGGGUGUUUUUGAAAUGAAAAUAUACUGUGCACUUCAUUAUUCAUUUUAAUAAUGUGAUAUAAAGCAAGUAUGACAUUAGUCAUUAAUGUUAGACUUGCAGGAAUUUCACUUCCAAAAUAGAAUUGAAACCAUAGUAAUGUUAUGGUGAAGCCCUAUGAUUUUGUGCUGUGGUGAAAGGAUUGGUAACCUGGGGAAGUAGAAUUUUUACCUAACCCUUUACAAAAAAGCCAUAAAUGAUUUUGUUGAUAUAAAACAAAAGUCUUAGCCCGGCUCCUCCCAGGGCCCCUCCCCCUUGGAUGCUUUUUAAUUCCUUUUUUUUCCGUCUUCCUACGUUGAUAGAAGCCCGAACUCUUCUCACUGUAGCAUUCCAGCUGUUCUCCCUUUAAAUCUCGGAUGGAAUUUGUAGGUUUUCAGGAUGAUUUGAACGUUAUCUAUGUAAGUUGGCGUGGACAGGUGACUUGGGGACCCUAAUCUUCUGCCAUCUUGCCCCACCAAAGUAGGUAACCCUCAAACCGUCCUGAACACCUACGAAUCUGAUCUGAUAUUUAAAGAGAUAAUAGCCAGAAUGCUACAGAGAGAAGGGUUUUCGAUUCUAACGAGGGAGGGAGACAGAAAAAAAUAAAAUAAGAAGGAAUCAAGUUGGGGAGGGGCACCCCGAGGAGCCAGGCUGAGGCCAGUGGUGAAAGCCUCCAGGACAAGAAAAUCCAGCCCCAGA
rnacentral:lncRNA from 1 species